ensembl:lncRNA
AUGGCUGAUUUUGCUAAAAAGCCUGAAACUUGCCGAGAGGCAUCAUGUGUGACAUCAUCUGCAUCUCAAGAGAAUACUGUGCUGUUUAGGAGAGGCAAAUUGCAAGUGAAGCCAAAAAUCCCCAAAACAACAUCUACUAAAGAUGAUUUCUCAAGACCUUCGCAAUCUCACUUUGGGUAUAAUGAUCCAGCCACAGCUCUAAUCAUUAAACCAGCACAUCUGAUUAAAGAAGAAUCCAUUAAAGUGGAACAGAGGUCUGAUCAAGAAGAUUUCUCUGAUAUUCCAAAAGAGGAGUUCGACGGAGAGUCUUCUGUGAUUGCUUCGUCCUCACAACUUCAACAGCUUAUACCAAAAACAACAGCAUGCACUGAAUUGCAACCAGAGGAACUGAAAAUAGAGGAUGGGCAUGAGGAUGCUGCACACGUGGUGGUGUCUGAUAUAUCGGUGCCGGUUUCUGCUGAAAUGGAAGAUGGUGAUCAUAUGGCGAGUGGAAGUUCCAUCCAAAGCAGUCUUCACAUGGGUGCCGUCGCUACAGAAGAAGACCAGGAAAAGCAUUCACAUGAGGGUGUUUCACACAUACUGCUGACUGAUAUAUUGAUCCCCGUCUGUGAGGACAUGAAAGAUGAUCUGAGCAAGGAAAGGACAACAACUGGAAAGAGAAGCCCACUUGUGGCAGAAAGAUCACAGGUGAGAGAGGAUCCAGAUACUGUACACCUGUCAUGUGCAGUGUCACAAUCAUCAAACGAGGGACCAUCAGUAUCACCCAAGAGGAAAAGACAGACUCAGGCAAAAGGUGGUGAAAAACUCUUGAAACCGUAAUUUCUCAAUUUACUGCUUAGUUUCUGUAAAAACGUGAUGAAUUUUCUUUAAUUGAGUAAUGUUUCUGAUGCUUUUAAUGCCUCUUGCUUUUAAGGCAAGUUAUUGGUAGAGAUGACGUUUCCCAAAAGGAAGACUGGAGAUUCCCCUAAGAGUGACGAGCAAUCACAAACCAUUCCUUCGUCAGCCUUAAUGUCAGAGUCAACACAAUGUAGUGCUGAGACAUGGUAUGAGUGAUCUGUAUAUUUUAAGUUUUAAUCAAAAUAUUAGUUAAAUUACUGAUGGUUUGGUCUUUCUGUCAUAGUGCUGGCUCGCUGCCCAUUGGCUCAGAGGACCGUGAGGAGGCAUGUGGGAGUGUUUCUCACAUGGUGCUCUCUGAUAUUUUGGUGCCUGUAUUGGAUGAGACUGCAGAAUGCAGCCUUCACAAAGACUCUUUCCCAGCUGGUCUUAGAGAAGAUGCAGUUAGUGUCGAGAAGUCAAAAGAUAUUGAAAGACCAACAAAUACUGAAACAGAAGAGAUGGCUGUGAGUCAGUCUAUGGCAGUGGAAUGGAAAACAGCUGGCUGUAGGAGAGGCACACUGCAUCCUGAAUUAUCAAAAAGAAAAGAUGACUCUUUAGAAACUGACCUCCGUCAGCCCACCUCUACACAGACCCUUUCAGCUACACCUCAGCAGUCCCUGGACCCUCAAGCAGCAGAGUGGUCCCUCAAAAGCAAUAUGCUGCCCAUGGACUCAGAUGAGAUGGAGAACUGGUGUGAAGGAGUUUCCCACAUGUUGCUGUCAGAUGCAUUUGUGCCUGUUUCUGAAGAGAUUGGAGAGAACAGCAUGGACCUGAAAGUGUGUGUCUCAAGCAUUCCUCAUAAGGAUGAGCAAAUCGCUCUUAGUCCGACAAAGAGUGAGGAGACGCCCUCUGAAAUUUCAAGUGAAGUACACCAGUUAGACACUACUUCUGACAUGCCAAAGACAGAUGAGAGUCUGCCAGCAUCACAAGCAAAAAACUCACCAACAAGAAGUCAGUCAUUCUUCAUUGACUUUAUUUAUCUUUGUCCCCAUUAUAUUUUGUGCUACUGAUUUAUUUAUUUUCUGAUUUCUCUUAAAAAGGUACAUUUCAGAUGACACUGAGAUCACCUCAAAGACGCCUUAAAGGUCAACCUUGUGUGCUAAAGUCAACCCAAGCUGCCCCGACAACACCUCAACGAACUCAGACAUCAAAAGUGAAAGAGUCCAUGGGAACUCCAACAAGACAACAAACAGGAGAGAUCUCAAGUGUGUGUCGGAUACAGCUAGAAAGGUUAUCUGUAGAGGAAAUCUGCAGUGCCCAUAGUGUCCUGCAACCAAAGCAUCACAGCACACCUGUCACUGUGAAAACCACUUCUAGAGGGUAAGGAUGCUUUCCAUUUCAUGCCAAUGACACCGUAUGUAAUUCUUUGUUGAAAUCACAAUAUUUAGUGCUGUUCACAGUAAAAACAACUACUAAAUAUGUUUGUACUCUUAGGAAUGAGAUGCAUCAGGCAUCUAUGGUUUUGAAUGGAAGCAGAAGCUCUGGUUUAGAAUCAGAUGCUGAUGAGGAGCCGUCUGUGCCGUCAGGAUACUCGCCAAGGGUUGUCCUUCAUCGUAUACCAUUAACAGCUACUGAUGAGAACACGUCCACACCUACCUCGUCCCCAGCCAGAGUAUCCACCACACCCUCCCGAACAUCAGCAGAUCAUCAGGUACAAGCUGUGAUCUAUUAGCAAAUCAUUGUAUUCUGUGAACUAUUACACCUUAUAUUAAUGUAAAAUACGGAAAUGAAAGGUUUAAAUUCAUGACAUCUUUUUUAUUAGUUGUUUUUAUUAAUGCUACAUCCUCUGUUGUGCAGUCUCCUCAGAAUAGCCCUCCUGUCUCUGAUUUGGAUGCUGAUAAGAAUCCUGUUCAAGUGUCCCACUUC